GGGUUAUCAUGUACUUGGUCGCCGGGGUUGGAUGAGGACGACGGUAACGAGGGUGACUAGUGAUGCGGCACGCCAAGCAGCAUCAGGGGAAGGGGGUCUCCUACUCGAGGAGGCGGGGGCGUAGGGGCGCACCCAGCCGGCAGCCCUGUCCUGCUUGAUGGGGAGGGGCAAGAGGGGUCUGCUCCUCUGCUUCCAUUGCGACCGCGGCAGGAGCAACGUUGCUGAUGGCGACGGCCAAGAUGAUCUGCUUUACACUUACAAUUUGUGAUGACUAAAUCUGAGCAAGUCUCCUGCCAGUUCCACUAUAAGUAACACUCUGCAGAUUCAGCUGGGAGUGCAGGAAAAGAAGAAGAUACAAAUGGAGUACUCGGAAUGGUUUGACAGCUGCAAGAGAUGCCCAGAUCGUUUUUGUAUGUUUCUCUAUGCUUCUGUACCUAAACAGUACAUCUGCUGUUGUUGUUGACCGUGCAGUCUAAAAAACAACACCCACUUAUUCUCAUCCUUGUGUACCUGAUUGUGUAUGUGAGGUGAACAAAAGCCAUGCAUUUGACCAGAUUUAUUAUGUUCUUGUUCUGGUCGACCGUGAGGAGGUUCUUACUGUUCGCUGACUCUAUUCUGUUUUGGUGGUGAUAUAACCUGGUUAUGAGGAAAAUGCCUCACCGGAACGUGGAUGGAACUGAUGGGAGGUGGAUCCCUGCUCACCGACGCCAACCUCAUCCAUAUCAUUGUUGACGCCAUCAUUAACUG